rnacentral:rRNA from 1 species
UACGGGGGGGGCAAGCGUUGUUCGGAAUUACUGGGCGUAAAGGGCGCGUAGGCGGUUCGAUAAGUCAGCUGUGAAAACCAUGGGCUUAACUCAUGGCCUGCAGUUGAGACUGUCGGGCUGGAGUGUGGGAGAGGAGAGUGGAAUUCCGUGGAUGUAGCGGUGAAAUGCGUAGAUAUCAGGAGGAACACCGGUGGCGAAGGCGGAUCUCUGGGCCAUUACUGACGCUGAGGAGCGAAAGCCGUGGGGAGCGAACAGG